AUGAACGUUGGCGGCGUGGAUUAGGCAUGCAAGUCGCGCGAGAAAUUUUCUUCGGAGAAUGGAAAGCGGCGGAAGGGAGAGGAUAAGGUAGAAAUCUACCCUCGGGACGGGGAUAGCUGCGGGAAACUGCUGGUAAUACCCGAUAAUAUCUUUGGAUCAAAGGUGUGAUUCCGCCUGAGGAUGAGUCUACUUCCUAUUAGCUAGUUGGCAGGGUAAUGGCCUACCAAGGCAACGAUGGGUAGCGGGUGUGAGAGCAUGACCCGCCUCACUGGGACUGAGAACUGCCCAGACACCUACGGGUGGCUGCAGUCGAGAAUCUUCGGCAAUGGGCGCAAGCCUGACCGAGCGACGCCGCGUGCGGGAUGAAGGCCUUCGGGUUGUAAACCGCUGUCGUAGGGGAACAAAUGUAAGUGGGUUCUCCCGUUUACUUGAGUGAUCCUAGGAGGAAGGGGAGGCUAAGCUCGU
rnacentral:rRNA from 1 species